GAGGAUAAGUUUAAUAUAUCUAAUUAGUAGAGUAGCGCCAAAAUCCUUGGCGCUUUAGCAUUUUUAUCGAUUCUGCGAUAGAUUUAGAGAAAAAAAACGGUAUUCGUUGGGAAAAAAGCAAGGAACAUGGUAUAUCGUGCGGUGGUUUUGGGUAUUUGUGCGUUUGCCAGUGCCGUUUGGGCUCAGGACUGUCGGUUUUACGGGCAAACCUGUUCGGAUGAUUACGAUUGUUGCGGAGGUUGCUGUUUUAAGGGAUCCUGUACAGACACUUAUCUGGAUUGUAGAUUAAACUCAUUAAAUGACCCAUGCCAAGACCGGUACUGCCCAGAAGACCAAGUCUGUGUCACGUACCAAC